UUGCAUUCUAUGUUAACUGGACCAAGAUGUUUACAUUUUGGAGCAAAAUAUAGCUCUAGUUUGUGAGAGUCCUGCACAAACUGUAUGACCUCACUGUAGACCUUUGCCACCUUUUCGUCCUAUUCUAAUAAAUACAAUGAGCACUAUCACCAUGCCGAUUAAUACACGGAAUGGGAGUUCAAUGCAUUUGUAUCAGAUGGCAGUUCAAAAAGUUGUAUAGGAAUAACUUCGUAUUCGAC
rnacentral:lncRNA from 1 species